GCGCUUGCUUUGGCAGCACAUAUACUAAAAUGGGAAUGAUACAGAGAAAAUUAACGUGGCCCUUGGGCAAGGAUGACACUCAAAUUUGUGAAGUGUUUCAUAUUUUA
ensembl:snRNA U6 U6 spliceosomal RNA